rnacentral:rRNA from 1 species
UACGGAGGGUGCGAGCGUUGUCCGGAAUCACUGGGCGUAAAGGCGCGUAGGUGGCCUGUGGAAGUCUGCGGUGAAAGCCCGGCGCUCAACGCCGGGUCGGCCGUGGAUACUCUCGGGCUUGAGCUUACUAGAGGCAGAUGGAAUUCCGGGUGUAGCGGUGGAAUGCGUAGAGAUCCGGAAGAACACCGGUGGCGAAGGCGGUCUGCUGGGGUAAUGCUGGACACUGAUG